GGGUGCGAUCAUACCAGCACUAC
rnacentral:rRNA from 5 species